GACGAACGCUGGCGGCGUGCUUAACACAUGCAAGUCGAACGGAAAGGCCCUGCUUUUGUGGGGUGCUCGAGUGGCGAACGGGUGAGUAACACGUGAGUAACCUGCCCUUGACUUUGGGGUAACUUCAGGAAACUGGGGCUAAUACCGGAUAGGAGCUCCUGCUGCAUGGUGGGGGUUGGAAAGUUUCGGCGGUUGGGGAUGGACUCGCGGCUUAUCAGCUUGUUGGUGGGGUAGUGGCUUACCAAGGCUUUGACGGGUAGCCGGCCUGAGAGGGUGACCGGCCACAUUGGGACUGAGAUACGGCCCAGACUCCUACGGGAGGCAGCAGUGGGGAAUAUUGCACAAUGGGCGGAAGCCUGAUGCAGCAACGCCGCGUGCGGGAUGACGGCCUUCGGGUGGUAAACCGCUUUCGCCUGUGACGAAGCGUGAGUGACGGUAAUGGGUAAAGAAGCACCGGCUAACUACGUG
rnacentral:rRNA from 1 species